CAGUCGCCGCGGGAAUACGAAGGGUGCAAGCGUUAAUCGGAAUCACUGGGCGUAAAGCGUGCGCAGGCGGUUGUGUAAGACAGGUGUGAAAUCCCCGAGCUUAACUUGGGAACUGCAUUUGAAACUGGCAAGCUAGAGUCUUGUAGAGGGGGGUAGAAUUCCAGGUGUAGCGGUGAAAUGCGUAGAGAUCUGGAGGAAUACCGGUGGCGAAGGCGGCCCCCUGGACAAAGACUGACGCUCAGGUGCGAAAGCGUGGGGAGCAAACAGGAUUAGAGACCCCAGUAGUCCCUGUCUCUUAUAC
rnacentral:rRNA from 1 species